GACGAACGCUGGCGGCGCGCUUAACACAUGCAAGUCGAACGGAAAGGCCCUGCUUGCAGGGUGCUCGAGUGGCGAACGGGUGAGUAACACGUGGGUGAUCUGCCCCUUACUUUGGGAUAAGCCUGGGAAACUGGGUCUAAUACUGGAUAGGACCAUGCUGUAGGUGGUGUGGUGGAAAGAUUAGUUUCGGUAAGGGAUGAGCUCGCGGCCUAUCAGCUUGUUGGUGGGGUAAUGGCCUACCAAGGCGUCGACGGGUAGCCGGCCUGAGAGGGUGGACGGCCACAUUGGGACUGAGAUACGGCCCAGACUCCUACGGGAGGCAGCAGUGGGGAAUAUUGCACAAUGGGCGCAAGCCUGAUGCAGCGACGCCGCGUGGGGGAUGACGGCCUUCGGGUUGUAAACUCCUUUCAGCCAUGACGAAGCCCUUGUGGUGACGGUAGUGGUAGAAGAAGCACCGGCUAACUACGUG
rnacentral:rRNA from 1 species